GACGAAGGUGGCGAGCGUUGUUCGGAAUCACUGGGCAUAAAGCGCACGUAGGCGGCGACGUAAGUUGGGUGUGAAAUCCCCCGGCUUAACCGAGGAAGUGCGCCCAAAACUACUUGGCUUGAGUACCGGAGAGGAUGGUGGAAUUCCCGGUGUAGAGGUGAAAUUCGUAGAUAUCGGGAGGAACACCAGCGGCGAAGGCGACCAUCUGGACGGAUACUGACGCUGAGACGCGAAAGCGUGGGGAGCAAACAGG
rnacentral:rRNA from 1 species